rnacentral:lncRNA from 1 species
UCAAUGCUUUUGAAUGGGGACAUACGGCAUAUGAUUGAAACAGUACCUCCCUCCCUUUUAUUCUGGGAAUUUGUCGACUUCAUAUUGAAGAUGUGCCUAUACAUAUAAUUUGGCAGAAAAGAUACACAGACCUGAGUAAAGUAAUGGGUAUCGCUGACUGAGAGACGACCAAAGAGGACUGGAAUAUUUUAUCGAAUGGGGAG